rnacentral:rRNA from 1 species
CACGUAGGGCGCAAGCGUUGUCCGGAAUUAUUGGGCGUAAAGAGCUCGUAGGCGGUCUGUCGCGUCUGCUGUGAAAACUCAGGGCUUAACCCUGAGCUUGCAGUGGGUACGGGCAGACUAGAGUGCGGUAGGGGAGACUGGAAUUCCUGGUGUAGCGGUGAAAUGCGCAGAUAUCAGGAGGAACACCGGUGGCGAAGGCGGGGUCUCUGGGCCGUAACUGGACGCUGGAGGAG